GAUGAACGCUAGCGGCAGGCUUAACACAUGCAAGUCGAGGGGUAACAGGGAUUGCUUGCAAUCCGCUGACGACCGGCGCACGGGUGCGUAACGCGUAUGCAACCUACCUUUUACUGGGGGAUAGUCAAAAGAAAUUUUGAAUAAUACCCCAUACGAUCUAUUUCACUCCUGUGAGAUAGAAGAAAAUUCCGAUGGUAAAAGAUGGGCAUGCGUCCUAUUAGUUUGUUGGUGAGGUAAUGGCUCACCAAGACUACGAUAGGUAGGGGUCCUGAGAGGGAGAUCCCCCACACUGGUACUGAGACACGGACCAGACUCCUACGGGAGGCAGCAGUGAGGAAUAUUGGACAAUGGAGGCAACUCUGAUCCAGCCAUGCCGCGUGCAGGAAGACGGCCCUAUGGGUUGUAAACUGCUUUUGUACAGGAAGAAACGUUAGUACGUGUACUAGCCUGACGGUACUGUAAGAAUAAGGAUCGGCUAACUCCGUGCCAGCCGCCGCCGUAACAC
rnacentral:rRNA from 1 species